rnacentral:tRNA from 1 species
CCCUGGGUGGUACAAAUGGUUAACACAAUUGGCUGCUAACUAAAAGGUUGGAGGUUUGAGUUCCCCCCGAGGGG